AGUGAACGCUGGCGGUAGUCCUAACACAUGCAAGUCGAACGGCAGCACAGUAAUAGCUUGCUCUUACGGGUUGCGAGUGGCGGACGGGUGAGGAAUACAUCGGAAUCUACUUUUUCGUGGGUGAUAACGUAGGGAAACUUACUCUAAUAUCGCAUACGACCUACGGGUGAACGCAGGUGAUCUUCUCACCUUGCGCGUUUGUAUGAGCCGAUGUCGGAUUAGCUAGUCGGCGGGGUAAAGGCCCACCAAGUCGACGCUCCGUAGCUCGUCUGAGAGGAUGAUCAGCCACACUAGAAGUGAGACAGGGUCUAGACUCCUACGGGAGGCAGCACUGGGGAAUAUUGGACAAUGGGAGGAAGCCUGAUCCAGCCAUCCCGCGUGGGUGAAGAAGGCCUUCGGGGUGUAAAGCCCUUUUGUUGGGAAAGAAAAGCCGCAGAUUAAUACCCAGCUGUUCUGACGGUACCCAAAGAAUAAGCACCGGCUAACUUCGUG
rnacentral:rRNA from 1 species